AUUGAACGCUGGCGGCAGGCCUAACACAUGCAAGUCGAGCGGAGCGGCCGACGGGUGAGUAAUGCCUAGGUAUCUGCCUGGUCGUGGGGGAUAACGUCCGGAAACGGGCGCUAAUACCGCAUACUAUCAGAUGAGCCUAGGUGGGGUUAGCGAGGUGGUGGGGUAAAGGCCUACCAAGGCGACGAUCCGUAACUGUGCUGAGAGGAUGACCAGUCACACUGGAACUGAGACACGGUCCAGACUCCUACGGGAGGCAGCAGUGGGGAAUAUUGGGCAAUGGGCGCAAGCCUGAGCCAGCCAUGCCGCGUGAGUGAAGAAGGUCUUCGGAUUGUAAAGCACUGUAAGUUGGGAGGCGUUACCAACAGAAUAAGCACCGGCUAACUUCGUGCCAGCAGCCGCGGUAAUUC
rnacentral:rRNA from 1 species